UGUGGCUGGUGGAGUAGGUCACAGGGUUGAGCCUUUGGGUGGCAUGUUUUGUCCCUGGAGAACUGAGUCGCUCUCUGGCUGUCAUGGACUGAGAGCUGCCCUCUCCUGCCAGGCUCCUCCGCCAUGAUGUCCUGCCUCGUCCUGGGCCCAGAGCUAUGGAGUCCCCGGACCACAGACGGAGCCUCGGAAUCCAGGAGCCAAGGUAACCUGUUCUUCCUCCAGGUGGUUCUGGUCAGGUCACAGUGACAAAACCACCCAGGCUUUCUAUCACAGUAUGGGCAUCCCACCCACCAGAACAAGGUACUGCGGUCCCCGCGGGUGACAGCCCAACGUGAGAACCGGCCUGCAGCAGCCCCCAGGCUCAGCCCCCCGGGUCCCCUCAGGGAGCCUCCGGUGGCCGUGCUGUUUCCGACCAGGCAACGUGCGCACGGUCUCUCUGAACAGAGUGAAUCACAAAGCCAUCGAGAACCGGAUUUUAAGAUUGCUUGUGCGCUCUGCGUGGCCUCUGGGUUCAGGCCCAAGACACAAUGCACAGGGCCCUGGAAACAGGGUGAAUGCAGGCGGGUGACCAAAACCACUGGGAGGGCUCAGAGAGCACCCAAGUGCCCACCUGUGCUUCCCCAGUGAGACCCCCUCAGGUGCUGUGUGGUUUCCGAGAGUUCCUGGGGCAGGUGGAGCUGAGGGGUUCGUGGUCCAUAAGACUUAAGCUGGUGGACAAGUCGAGCAUUUGCCAGGAAGGCCGGUUGUUCUUAUUUCCAGGGUCAGGUUUUUAACUAUUUUUUUUUUAAAUCAGGGAUUGAACCCAGUGGUGCUUAACCACCGAGCUGUAUCCCCAGCCCCCUUAGUGACAGGGGGGUCUCACUAAAUUGCUGAGGCUGGCCUCCAACUUGCAAUCCUCCUGCCUCAGCCUCCCAAAUUGCUGGCCAGCCUGGCAAGUUAGUGAGACCCUGUUUUAAAAUAAAAAAUGAAAAGGGCUGGAGAUGCACCUGGUGAAUUUUAGCCAUUUUAAUGCAGCUAGAAUCUUGUGUGACCUCAUCACCAUCCAACUCAGGGCCUUUUUUUUUUUUUUUAACAAAUCUGCAACUGUGCUCCCACCAAGCCCACCCGCUCCUGCUCCCUCUGCCCCUGGCCACCCUGUUCCCUUUUCUUUCUGUCUCUGUGAUUUUGACUUCUUGAAGAGCCGCAUCUGAGUGGAUCAUCAGCCUUUGUGUUUUGUCUGACUUUAUUCUUUGGACAAAGACUGACAGAUGAUGGUCUGCAGCUCCGCGGAUUUUAUUAUAUCCUAAAGUAUUUUUCCCCACAGAAAGAAAAACAUGUUUGAAAAGAAAACUCUUUGAUUUGGGUUUUGAAAAGAUCACUGCAGGAGUGGAGGAGGAAAUGCCGCCGGCGCAGGGAAGAGCUGGCCCCGGGCCUGUGGCCGCAGAGCCCACCUUGGGCCGGGAGCAGGAGAGCUGGCAUCCGACAGCGGGCGAUGGAGCCGAGCGCAGCCUCCCCUUGCCCAGAGGGGGAGGCCCGAGUCUCCUGGCAGCCUCCAGAGCCGGCAGAGCAGAGGACGAGACGCAAGAGCAGCCCUGGGCAGCCCUGGGCAGAGGGGCACCUCCACGUGGGCUCUUCUGCCGGCUGUUGCAGAUGGCAGGUGCUGUGACCUUGGAGACGUUCCAGGGAGGCUGGGACGAGCCAGGCUUGGUGACACAUGGGAGCCAAGCACCUGAAAGCCCAGGGGACUAUACAGUCACAGGGAGGUCAUUGGCCAGCGGCUGUCCUCAUCCACUCGGGACGGGCAGGCGCGGCCCUCAGCAUUUUGUUCGUUCCUGGCACAUCACACACCCCCGCUCCUCACGGAGACGACUUCUUCUCCAUCCCCCCGGGACUGGGGACUGAGCCCAGGGCUGCUCUGCCCGGGCCGCAUCUCCAGCCCCUGUCAUUUUUUAAGACAGGGUCUCGCUAAGUUGCCAGGCUGGCCUUGAACUUGAAACCUCCUGCCUCAGCCUCCUAAGCUGUUGCUAAGCCACCAGGCUGUGGUCUUUGCCAUGGUGUCCCCGCUGUCUUCGGUGUGGGCACCGCCAGGCUCAUGGAGGGGGACGUGAACGUGGGCGUUGGAGCUGCAGGGCCAGGCUGUGCCACACCCGGCUCUCCUGGCCCCGGAGGCCUCACAGGGCUCACUCAGGGCUCACUCACCCGCUGCCAGACAGGCGGGUGCCAGGCCCAUGGCACCUGUCGCCCGAGACACCCAGAGUGGGGACUUUGCAGUGCUGUCUUUGAGCUUCCCGGCAGAGGUAGCGGUGGGGACAGGUACCCUCUCCUGUAGCCCCUCCAGCACCAGGUGUUCCUGAAGCCCCUCCCCCUAAGGCCAUCUGGACCACGAGGUCAUGGGCGGGCCCUGUGGGUGCUGGGCGGGACUUCUGGGUGCUGGGUGGGCCCUGAAGAGGCCCGUGCCUAUGUCCCACGUCCUGUUCGAGCUGUAGGACCUGCUGUUCCCGGGCGGGCAGGAGCCAUGGUUGGGGCUGUGCUGAGAUGGGCCUCCCAGCUCUGUGACGGUGACAGGGAGGGACAUCCUUCUGUCCCGUGAACUCCAUGCUCAUGGGCAUUGCUGCUGCCCUGCUGGCGCCUGCGCUUCCCCCUCCCCUGCCUUGGAGGAUGCAGGGCAGCAGAGAGAGAAAUCACAGCUGGACUCCAGGGCCCCAGGGAGAGGAGUGUCAGUCACAGCUGGCAGGUGCCUUGUGUUCCCCUCCCCCAGAGCUUGGCUUCAGCACCUCCCUACCCAGUCACCCCCAGUCUGUCCGUCAUUGCAGGAUGACACGUGGUUAUAGCCCCUGCCCCAUCUUACCAAUAACAAAAUUGGGCUCAGAGAGGUUGAUACACUCAUCCAAGGUCACCCAGGGGGCUAGCGUCGUGGCUGGACCCAGAAUACAACCAAAGUUAGAACUAAAUGACAGUUUGGGACUGGCUUAUGACACUGGUCCUGGUCAUGCAGCAAGCUGGGCAGGAGGAGGUCACCGUCCCACUGAGAGAGGGGAGGGGCGGUGAGGAGAGGUGAACUGGGUCUCUCCCUCCAUCUGGCUUUGCCAGCCUGACCAUCCACAUGGUGCUGGUCCUGCAGUCCCUGGGGGGCACCCAGCCAGGAGGUAGACACCCAGGGCCUGGCCGGACCAUGCACAAUAAUUGAAAUCAUUUCACAAUUGUCUUUGUCACAACAGCAUAAACAAUACAAUAACAGUGGAAUCCAGCAAUAAUAUGAAGUGUAUUGUGCCAGCCUGAGGACCAGGACUACGUCAAGGCCAGCUGUGGACGUCCAGCCACACGUUGGUGGCUGUAGGUCCAUGUCUUCCUGUUGACCUCAGGAGGGCCCCUGCACGCGGCCAGGCUUACCAACAGGACACCCUUGGGAGAGAGAAGUGCACUUACCAGGAAAUUCAGCCCUGACCCAACGUGUCAUUUAACGGAUGGGUGGAAUUCGCUCAGGUUUUCCCCAGUGCCAUCCGCCCGGGAGGCUUUCUGUCCCCGUGGCCUAGCAUUCACUCCGCGGUCCCAGCUGCAGUGGCCGUCUCUCCUCUGAUGCACAGCGAGUUGUCCCGUGGUGUCCCUCCAUCUAGCUUUGUCAGCUGUUUUCUUUUUCCCUUUAUUCAUGUUUUCCUUGCUGGGGACGGAACCCAGGGGCUCUCAACCCUGAGCCACAGCCCGGCCCUUUUGAUAUUUUAUUUAGAGAGAGAGUCUUGCUGAGUUGCUUAGGGCCUUGCGAAGUUGCUGAGGCUGGCUUUGAACUUGUGAUCCUCCUACCUCAGCCUCCUGAGCUGCUGGGAUUAUAGGCGUGCACCGUGGUGCCCAGCUUGCCUGCUGUUUUCGAAAGCUGGAUGUGUGUUUCCGGUGGAGUGAAUCCUGAGGUCUGUGUCUUUUGCUUGAAUCUUUGAAAAACAAACAAACAAAAACCAAAAAACAAACAAACAAACAAAAAACCCCCCCAAAACCCAAACUAAUCGCAAAGAUUAAAACCUGAGAGAUUGUCUGCUUGUCUUGACUUCUGUGUCCUCUCAUGGACAGAGAGCUCUGCCCUGGGCCCCUGGACUGGGAUCCUUCAGGGAACGGUCCUGCAGCUGGGUGGUGGGUAUCUGAGAUGGGGCAGGUGUGAUGGGUGCCGUCCCCCCUCAUCGGGGUGAG
rnacentral:lncRNA from 1 species